rnacentral:lncRNA from 1 species
GCCAGGGCCUGUACGUGGGGAAGUGGGCGCUGACUGUCCCCAGGGCUACAAGAGGCUUAACAGCACCCACUGCCAGGACAUCAACGAGUGCGCAAUGCCGGGCGUGUGUCGCCAUGGUGACUGCCUCAACAACCCUGGCUCCUAUCGCUGUGUCUGCCCACCUGGCCAUAGUUUAGGCCCCUCCCGUACACAGUGCAUUGCAGACAAACCGGAGGAGAAGAGCCUGUGUUUCCGCCUGGUGAGCCCUGAGCACCAGUGCCAGCACCCACUGACCACCCGCCUGACCCGCCAGCUCUGCUGCUGCAGUGUCGGCAAGGCCUGGGGCGCGCGGUGUCAGCGCUGCCCAACAGAUGGCACCGCUGCGUUCAAGGAGAUCUGCCCAGCUGGGAAGGGAUACCACAUUCUCACCUCCCACCAGACGCUCACCAUUCAGGGCGAGAGUGACUUUUCCCUUUUCCUGCACCCUGACGGGCCACCCAAGCCCCAGCAGCUUCCGGAGAGCCCUAGCCAGGCUCCACCACCUGAGGACACAGAGGAAGAGAGAGGGCUCAUGCUGCUGUCACCCGCAGCCGGUGAGUGAGGAGAGGUCAGUGCAGCAGAGCCACCCAACUGCCACCACGACUCCUGCCCGGCCCUACCCCGAGCUGAUCUCCCGUCCCUCGCCCCCGACCAUGCGCUGGUUCCUGCCGGACUUGCCUCCUUCCCGCAGCGCCGUAGAGAUCGCUCCCACUCAGGUCACAGAGACUGAUGAGUGCCGACUGAACCAGAACAUCUGUGGCCACGGAGAGUGCGUGCCGGGCCCCCCUGACUACUCCUGCCACUGCAACCCCGGCUACCGGUCACAUCCCCAGCACCGCUACUGCGUGGAUGUGAACGAGUGCGAGGCAGAGCCCUGUG